UUUUAUUAAUGUAUCAGAUUUAAUUUUGCAGCAGAUGUUUAUGUGGAAAGGUCUCAAUCCUUACAGGACUUGUAGCAAUUGAUAUGCAUGUGUAAUUUAUUCUCAUUACAGGUUUAUUCUUAACUGGUGUUCGGGGGGUCUUCACUGUAUCUCUAGUAGAUCCUUGAGAAUUAAACAGUUUAACCAAUGUAAUGAGCAAGCCUGAAAGAAGUACAGGUAAAGCAGAAUAUGGAUUUGGGUAUUACUUCUCCAGAUUUGCAAAUAAUGUAAGUAUGGUAUUUAAAGGGAGUGAGAAAUUGGCAAAAAUAAAUAUCUUCAAGUAAUAAAUGCCCCGGAUGGUAUUUUGGCAAAGCAAAGAUUUAAAAAAAUGGAUCUUUUCAUCAUUCUCAUGUAAACUUGCUCAUCUUUGUAAGUCAUGCUUGUAGCUCUCAGGGGUGUCAAACCUAAAGCAGACAAGCCCAGCUGGUGGAAGCCUGGGAGUGAAAUGAUGAAUUUUUUAGCAGAUCUGAGUUUAUUUUUAGGCUUUAUAGAAUUAUGUUUCAUUUCCCUGUGAGUGAAAUUGUAGGAAGUAGCUUAGAAGAAAAACAAAUUAAGAAACUUCACCAGAACAGCAAAAAAUAGCAAAACACUGGACCCUAACUACAGUUGAGCACAACAUAUCCUGAUUGCAUUUGAAAUUGUGGCUACAGUUUUGUCCUGCAAAUAUUUACAUACAUGUUCAGUUUAAUGCAUAUGAGAAUUCUUGAAACAAGCAGUAAGUCUGCAGAGACAGCAGACUGCAGGUUAGACUGCAUGGGGAACUGAACAAAAUUUCUAGUGGGAAUAUACUUUCUUUAGAUAUAUUUUCUGUGCUACUGAAUGUGGGAAUAAAAUUCCAGGUGUCUGGAUUUUGUUAGUUUAUGCAGUAAAAGAAGUGUAGAAACAUUUUGGGAGAGAGGAGAGUUCAUAGGAAGGUUCUGGGUCUGGAAUCUUGUUUGGUUAGUGAAGAUAAUUUCAUUAACACAAUCAACAUAUUCAACCCUAUGAUUUCACACUAUCCAUUUUUGCUGGCAUUACAGAAUUGUCAACUCUUUCCUGCAGAUAAAACAGAAAAACUGCAUUAGUAUCCAAGGCAAGUGUGGGAAAAUGCCGUGGACCUGGGAGGAGGAGAUGCAUGUGAUAGUUACAGGUCUAGCAAGGGCUGGUUUUUGCAGAAAGUUUAUCACAUGCAGCUACACAUCCCAUGUCCAUUAAGGUCACUCUUUUGAGAUUUCAUUUUAAGUGAACUUGGCUUUUUGGGGUCCUUUCUAGUACAUGGAGUAGAUCAGAAUUUGCCAACCAUGCUUUUUUCUCAGAGUUGAUGGUGGUGCUGCCAUGGGGUUUUGCCUGUGAUAGAAAGUGUGUUAGUAAGUGACAAAGAUGCCUCUUUAUAUCUCAUGUCCUAGAAUGUGCUCCUGGGAGUACUGGGGACUGCAGCCUUCCCCACUGAAACAGCCUCCCCUCUGUUCUGCAGUUGGGAACCAAAGGAGCCACCUUAAAGGCUUAGUUCUUCAGAGAACCCUGCUGCAGCCACACAGGCAUCAUGUGAUCCAUCCCAAAGGGUGACACCUUUGUGCUUGCAUGUGACACUGAGGGAUGACCCAGAAGACAGUACUGAAAUCUGCUAAACUGUGAGUCUGAAAAUCCCAUUUUAUAUUUGAGCAUUUGCAGUGACUUCUGGAAGCUUCAAAUCUGGUCCAUCAUUGUAAAGAGUAAUUCAAAUUCACCUUGUCAUCUUUUUGCCUCCAACUUACCAUGAUAAAAGAAAAUCAGGUAAUGUAAUCUGUACAAGCUGGCAUCUUUCACUCUACUGCCCAGCUGCCUGCAGCUUCCCCUCCUGCCUGCCACGUUAUCAGAACUCCAACCCAGGAAUGCUGGAGAGAAUGAUUGUGUUCCUUUGGAAAACUGGGGCUUUCAUUCAGCACCUCUGGAGUGGGUGUAAGGUUGGAAGUGAAGUCAGCCAAGGACCCUUGGCUCUGGUGGGACUGAAAUCAGCUUCUUUGGGCUUACAGCAUGUCUCCAAAAUAAUGUGUGUGGGGGCCAGAACUACUCAAUUACUGUCCUCAGACUCCAGAAGUGCCAUGCACAUCUCACACCACUGAAUAGUACCAAGCAUGGAAAUGUAUUGCUGAUGUUAUUCCAGACACCUUCAAAUGUCAUCCAUCCUUGAUACUCAAGUGUUUUGUUCCUUAACUGAUUGUAAAAUAGGCAUUUUAGAUCUGAUUUUGAUGUUUGUCUACUUAUUGUAUGUCCUUUAAUUAGAGUCUUGACAAAAGCUCAGAUGCACUGUUUUAGACACACUCUGCAAGAGUGCUGUAAGAGAUGGGGAUUUUUUUUUUUAGCUCCUCUCUGGGAAUCUUUCUAGCUCCUCUCUGGUAUUUUGUGUAGCUAUUUUUUAACCAGGUUUUUUUUUUUCCACAUCAUUGUUCAUCCAUGCUAUAACCUACAAACAUGUAAGCUAAUUUCAGGACACUGACUUUUACAUUCAGAUUGCUGUAGCUUUUUUCUGAAAAGGUCACAAAAUGACUAUACCAGUAAACACAAUUAGUGAAUUAGGUUGCUGAGGAAGUAAAAACCAACAUCAAUGACUACUGUAAAAGAGGCUAAAAGAGCAGGAGACAGGUUAUUUCAUUUGCAGGUAAGAGCAUGCCUAAAGUACCUGUAACAGCUUGCUUGGAUAAUGCUAGCUAGCAAUGUGUGCUCUGUUCCAAAGCACCAGCCUAUAUUUUUGAAUCAUCUUUCAAGACUGAGAUGAUAUAAGGCAAUUAAUAGUGUUUUGUGACCUUCUGCACCAGUAGUCCAUCUUUUUGGCAUCGAAACUGAUUUUGCCCAACUUGGCAUUUUAUCACCUAGGAAUAUGUGGGGAGAUCAAAGAGACACCUUUUACAGCAGCAGUGGAAUGAUUUACUUCUGUCACAGUGUUCUUUAAAUUCACCAUUUCUUACAAGCUGAUGAGGCAAACCUCUUCUUUGCUUAAUAUCACAUAAGGUACAUUGAAAGGCUGUGAAGAGGCAGAUGUUCUAUAGCUUCACUUCAUAUGCAAAAACCUGUUAUUCUUUAUUUGCAUUCAAUUAGAAGUCAGACCCCAAUGAAUAUCUAGUGUAGGAAAUGGAGAAAAGAUUUGCCAUCAAGCAUAUGCUUUGCUUGUGGUGGAUCUCAGUAACCUGCUAUUGUGUCUUCCUGCAGUGAUUUGGUCAUUUCUACUGUAUUAUUUACACCUUCCAGCUCAGGGGUAAAGACUUUUAAUAGGUGACAACUGGAGUUAUGUUCCUGCCUUUAGAAAUGUUGCCUUUUCUCAUUCCUUUUAAAAAGCCAUUCUGCAGUUGCAAAUUUCCCUUACCAAGUAGCUCUGUUUAAGGAUUUAAAUGCUGUAGCAUUACUUCCACAUUCAUUUUCUUUUUUGAUACAGUUGUGCCUUGUGUGAUCCUGUGAAGGCUCACCAUUCUCCUGGCAAUCCUGAGUAUAAUAAGAGGAGCUCAGAAGUUAUAAAACUGUUGUGUUGUCAAGAAGAGACGGUUCAAAUGAUUGCCAUGAAGCAGAAGUGGCUUCAUAGCAAUCACUUAAACUCUUCCAGAACAGCUGUUGUGCUUGCUGUGACCUGUAAGAGCACGCAUACCAGGGUAUGACAGUACCUAGGGAGAGACAGAAGUUCUCUGGAGCCCAAGACAGCAGAGACAGGGAUAAGCAAAGCAGCUUUUCAUCACUGCAGCACAGGGUUUUCCAGCCUUUGGGGGGAAACAAUGGGAAUCUCAUACCCUCCUAAACUGGGAUGUGAUUAGAAACUUGCUUUGUUACAUUCUCCAUCCCCUUUCUUCUCCAUGGCCCACUCCCACCACAUGUUCUGGAGAACACAUGACAUUUCUUCCUUUUUCCUCUUUUCUCUUUGCUUUGAUCUAACAUUAAAUUAAACCAUCCUCACCCAAAUCCAAGCAAUGCAUUGACACUAAAGGAAAACCUUGAGACUAUUUUUAAGUGCUUUGCAAACUUAGACAAAUAAAUCAAUAUUACUUCAUGCAUGCCUCAAGUUUGAAAUGGUUCUUUGUCCUGCCAUUGUGAUGAUAAAAAAAUUCAAGAUUUUAAGGAAAAAAAAAAGGUGCAACUAAAUGAAAUGAUGAAACUAAUUCUGUCACACACAGUUACCUAAUCCUCAUGUUUUCUCUGCAAGCUCUAGCAUGAACUAAAAUGUAGAGGAACAACCUUUUUUCUGUGCAACAAGAUUAAGUGUCUCAUCUUGGAAAAAAAAUAUCUGUCAGGGUUUCCUGUGAAGGUAAUAGAGGUGUUUCAGAUAAUUGGAUCAGGCGUCUCUGGACAGUUUCUCCAGACUGAGCCUGCUUCCUAUGAGCAUUUUCCCAAGAUGUACUAAAGGACAGGCUGAAAGCCAGAAUGAAUCAUUGUUUUGGUAGCAACAGCCUUUCUGCAGCUGAAACCAUUUGUGGUGCCCCUUGGCCUAUCUCUUAGUAUGUCAAAAGCUGUGCAAACGUGAGGCUGAAGAUACAAUGAAGGGCUUGCAGUCAUUUUGGGUUCUUCUUUUAUGUUAGGGAAGCCCUUGACAAAAAUCUGCCACAAGGCUCUUCAAACCAGAAUGCCAGUGCACCACUGCUGUGGUUGAUUUCUGAUGCCUGCUUUUGACACAUAAUGAGGAUUUUGGGGGGUAAAAGGAUUUUGGGUGGCUUUUAUCUGGAUUUUUAGAAGCAUGGAGAUCCUAGUAACCUGAAGAGCAAAAAUAUAUAAAAUAUCCUGAUACAGGAAAUGAAAUAGUGAAUCAA